GUCAGGAUCAUGAGCAUAGAAUAUAAAAAGCAGUAGUUCUCUGUUAUGUAACUGCAUAUGCCUGGAAGUGAUUCAGGAGAAGAUUUGGAUUCCGAAUUAUUAAGGACAUUUGUAUAUUCUCCAGAGGAAGGAAGUCUUAUUACAUAGCUAAUGUCCAGAGGCCUCUAGCCUAUAAAUAGGACAUCUCACUUGUCUCCUAAAUACAGAUGGUAAUUCCAACAAUGAGAGCAAGAACUAGAGCAAGAACUAAAGGAGUGAGAGAGAGAUGCUGAGAAGAGAGAAAUGAAUAGGUGGCCUUCAAUAUUUCAGAGUCCGACAGAGGAGACAACAAAAAGACACUGAAAGAAGGGUCUUCUGUAUCAGGAGCUGAACUAUUAUCAUUUACUGAGCUACAUUUCUCUGGAGCCAAGGAGAUGGAAGACCUUUUCUUUGAUCUCUCCCAUUUCAAAGCUCAAAUGGAGAGCUGAUAAUUAUCAAGAGUCCAAGUCUUAGAACUACUCAACAAGUAGA